GUGCUUGCUUCAGCAGCACAUAUACUAAAAUUGGAACAAUACAAAGAAGAUUAGCAUGACCCCUGCACAAGGAUGACAUGCAAAUUCGAGAAACGUUCAAUGUUUUU